UACGUAGGCAGCAAGCGUUGUUCGGAGUUACUGGGCGUAAAGGGUGCGUAGGCGGUUGUUUAAGUUUGGUGUGAAAUCUCCCGGCUCAACUGGGAGGGUGCGCCGAAUACUGAAUGACUAGAGUGCGGGAGAGGAGAGUGGAAUUCCUGGUGUAGCGGUGAAAUGCGUAGAUAAUCAGGAGGAACACCGGUGGUGUAGACGGCUCACUGGACCAUAACUGACGCUGAGACACGAAAGCGUGGGUAGCAAACAGG
rnacentral:rRNA from 1 species